CAAUAUGAACAGCAUAUAAGCAUCUCAAUAUAGAUAUCGAGAUUUUACAAUCAAUCGUAAUGAAUAAAAGGUCUACAUAUUUAAUUCAAAAGAAAACAAAUAGAUAAAUUAUUAAAGAAAAUUGGGAAAAUGCACAAGUAUUCCCCUAGACUAUGACCGAAAUCCCAAAGAUACACCUUAAUUAAACAAAGGUGUGUCUCUGAAAUUUCGGUCAUAGUCUAAGGGGUACUCAUGCAAUCCCUAGAAAAUAAAUAGAAUAGAAUUUAUAGUAAUACACUAAGAAUAAUAAUAGCUAAACUGCUAAAGAAUGCUUAGAUAACAGUAAUUCAUCAACUUGUUCACUAUUAGUUAAAUUUGUGCUGAAUUGCCCAAAAAAUCAAGAUACCAGGGAAUAUUUAGACCUGAAUUUGUAUCCAAUCAUCAGGUUCUCUUUUAUUUGGGGAUGUCAGUGAACUACCAGGGAAAGCAGCAAAGUUCGCAUUUAUCACCCAUAAAUGGAUUGGAG